rfam:Canis lupus familiaris chromosome 34, whole genome shotgun sequence.
AGGAGGAACAACCCCAGUGAUAGCGGCCAGCUCUGGAAACCUGGAUUCAGCCCCUGCAGUAACUCCUGAGCAGACAGUCUGCAGGGUCUGGAGGCUCUGGGGCUGG